UCUCCCUCUCUCCAACUCCGACUUCUCCUUCUCUUCUCCGUCUGUGACUGAAACUUGUUCCUCCAUUGCAAGUUUGCAACCCUAAUAGCCUAACCUUUAUUCGUCCGCGGGCCACUUCAGCCUUCCGCCUUCAAGGUCAGCCGGCUGCUCCACUUUCAGCCCAAGGUUCCUGCCUGUGCUCUCCUGUGCUCUCCGCUCCUGCGUGUGCUCUCCAUCUCAGCCUUGCCCUUCUCCCUUCAACUUUCAGCCCAAGGUUCCUGUCCAUGCCAAUCUGAAAGCUUAUCCACUUGGUAACUUCAUUGGCCUCAUAUUUGGCCCUAAGAACAGUACAAAAACGGUUGUGCGUGCUUUACGAGCUGCUUAUAAUAAUCCUGAGAGGGCUGUCGAUUACUUGUAUUCGGAUAAUAGUUUGAGCAGGAGAAAAAAUUACUAGUUUGAAGAACGACAAAUUUAGAAAGAAAUAUCAUUGAUAGGGGCAAGCAAGUAUGUGAUUCGAGACAAAGCUCAAAUGAUUGGGUAAUUGGGUAAAGAAUGAUGGUGAUCCAAUGCAUGAAGUGUUAAUAAAAGUUGAGGAUGAAUCAAGUGAAUAUGUAUCAUUAGAAUGAUUAAGUUUCCUCUUGUUUUCAGCUUCGAUAUCCAAUGUUCAUGACUCAUGAUUGUGUGAAGAGCUUCUAUAUGAAGAGCUUGCUGAUACUGUGGUUAGAGGAAGGGAUGAUUUAUUUUCAAGUUUUGGUUCCUUGAGAAGAGAGAGGGUUCUCAAAACAUUUGUUCACAUAUUUUUACAUACUUCUGAACAAGCUAAUUAUGAACAAGUCCCAUUCAUUUAGAAUGAAUUUGAUGGAACUACAUAACCAAAGUCAUAUGUUGACAGCACUGUAAGUUUCAUCAAUUGUUUCUUGUCCAUGGUAACAGGAAUAUCUUCUUACAGUUACAGGUACUUGUAUUGAGGCUGCUGCACCUUGUCCAUGGUAAUAAAUGUUGAUUCUAACA